UUCUUGCAGUUUCGUGAAUUUCUUUUGUCCUAUAAUCGCCUAUCGGAAAUGUGUUUCGUAGACUGUGUAAUGGACUUCACAUCACGCAAAGUUUCUGAUAAUGAGGAUUCCUGCACAAACAGAUGUAUGGAGAAGUACCUGAAAAUGACACAGAGAAUAUCGCAAAGAUUUCAAGAAUACCAAGUCCAACAGAAUGAAAACGCCAUUGCAUCACAGACAGGGGUAAUGGGACGAUAGCGCUGAGAUAAUUAUAAAUGAACUGGUGGAUUGUAAUUGCGAUAUUUGAUACCAACCUCCAGCCACACUCUCCCUGCCCCUAUGUGCCCAUCCCUGUACAAAACUGCCUUCAUUUGUGUAAUACCUUGCUGUUAAAUUGGUUUCAUUUCCAGAUUUUAAACCAAUACUAGUUAUCAUGUUCGGCUUGAUGAUAUUUUAUUUCCGAGGGCAUCUGGCUUGGACUUAUGUAUUAGUUGUAGAUUUCUAAAUUGUAUUGUUUUUGGAUAAAUAAUAAGUGGAGUGGUA